rnacentral:lncRNA from 1 species
UGAAAGCCAAUGCAAUUGAAGUACAAACUAGACUCACGGAGCUGAAAAUUAGAAUGGUUCACCGCAUUGGAUUCAUGUACAACCACCAAGUCACUCCCAGUGAAGAAGAACGACUAGAACUUAAAGUACACACACACUUGGGCUGUGAGCUUCAACUCAUAAACAUACACUAGAUAAACCAGUGUUGGUAUCACUGAAAAUAUGACUCAAAUGAAGCAUUUUUUGAUCCAAAGAAUAUAUUUCAAAUACAAUACAAGUAGAAAGAAAUAAAUUACACAAUGGAGCUUUCAACUAUGAAAUAGGAUAGGUAAAUUCAUGUCGUUGUUACAAAUAAUGUGCAAAAAAAGUAAUUUUGUUCAAGGAAGUACUUGUGAAAAUAUUUAAAAACACCAAAUUACAUUAAUAAAUAAUAAAAGUAUGUUAAUACAUUUAAAGAUGUUCUAAAGUUAAUACAUAAAU